rnacentral:rRNA from 1 species
GACGGGGGGGGCAAGUGUUCUUCGGAACGACUGGGCGUAAAGGGCACGUAGGCGGUGAAUCGGGUUGAAAGUGAAAGUCGCCAAAAAAGUGGCGGAAUGCUCUCGAAACCAAUUCACUUGAGUGAGACAGAGGAGAGUGGAAUUUCGUGUGUAGGGGUGAAAUCCGUAGAUCUACGAAGGAACGCCAAAAGCGAAGGCAGCUCUCUGGGUCCCUACCGACGCUGGGUGCGAAAGCAUGGGGAGCGAACAGG